UCUCUCUUUUUGUUUUUGCAGCCACCCAGAUUGAUCCCAGUGAACUACAGGAACUUUUUCAGGAGACUUCAGCCAAUGUCUUCCGAAUUAAUUCCAGUGUGACCUCUCUGGAAAGAAGUCUUCGAUCUCUGGGGACCUCCAAUGAUAAUCAAGAACUUCAGGAUGGACUGCAUGCAACCCAGCAAGAGACUAAUAAAACCAUCACGACUAGCACCAAAGCCAUCAAGCAGCUGUCUGAGGUUGUCAGAGGCUCAUCCAGGCAAGAACGACUUCAGCUGGAUAGACUGAAGAAUCAGCUGUCUGAUGCCAUCCAAAGAUACGGAGCUGUGCAGAAGAAAAUAGCAGAGAAAUCCAAAGCUUUGCUUCCUACUGGGCAGAGAAGUAGCAAACAAGUAAGUUCAUGUUUGUCU